AUUGAACGCUGGCGGCAGGCCUAACACAUGCAAGUCGAGCGGGGUUUUCGGGCCUAGCGGCGGACGGGUGAGUAAUGCGUAGGAAGCUACCCGGUAGAGGGGGAUACCAGUUGGAAACGACUGUUAAUACCGCAUAAUGUCUACGGACCAAAGUGUGGGACCUUCGGGCCACAUGCUAUCGGAUGCGCCUACGUGGGAUUAGCUAGUUGGUGAGGUAAUGGCUCACCAAGGCGACGAUCCCUAGCUGGUUUGAGAGGAUGAUCAGCCACACUGGAACUGAGACACGGUCCAGACUCCUACGGGAGGCAGCAGUGGGGAAUAUUGGACAAUGGGCGCAAGCCUGAUCCAGCCAUGCCGCGUGUGUGAAGAAGGCCUUCGGGUUGUAAAGCACUUUCAGUAGGGAGGAAGGGUGUUGUGUUAAUAGCGCAGCAUUUUGACGUUACCUACAGAAGAAGCACCGGCUAACUCUGUGCCAGCCGCCGCGGUAAUAC
rnacentral:rRNA from 1 species